rnacentral:lncRNA from 1 species
UUUUUUUUUUUUUUUUUUUUUUCACUACAGCUUUUUAAUAGAACUUCGAAUCUGGAAUAGUGUUACUUCCAGUUUACUUUUCUUUUUCAAGAUUCCUGGUUAUCAGGGGUUCUUUGUUUUCCAUACAAAUUCUAGGAUUGUUUGUUCUAGUUCUGUGAAAAAUACUGUUGGUGUUUUGAUAUGGAUUGCAUUAACUGUGUAGAUUGCUUUGUAUGGUAUAGACAUUUUAACAAUAUUUCCCUUCCAAUAUAUGGGCAUGGAAUGUCUUUCCAUUUCUUUGUGUCAUCUUCAAUUACUUUCAUAAGUGUUUUACAGUUUUAAGAGUACAGGUAUUUCACUUCUUUAGUUAAAUUUAUUUCUAAGUAUUUUAUUAUUUUUGGUACGGUUGUAACCAGGUUUUCUUAAUCUCUCAUUUAUUUAUUUCCAUGUAAUGUUUUAUUUUUCUUUGAUUUCUUGGUUGACCCAUUCAUUGGUUAGUAGCAAGUUGUUUAACCUCUAUGUAUUGGUGGUCUUUCCAAAUAUUUUCUUAUGGUUGAUUUUUAGUUUUGUAGUGUUAUGGUCAGAAAAGAGGCAUGGUAUGACUUUGAUAUUCUUAAAUUAAUUUUAGGCUUUUUUGUGGCUUAAUAUGUGAUCUAUUCUAGAGAAUGUUCUGUGUGCACUUGAAAUGAAUGUGUAUUCUGAUUUUUUAGGAUGGAAUGUUCUGACUACAUCUGUUAAAUCCAUCUAGUCCAGUGUGUCAUUCAAAGCCACUGUUCACUUGUUGAUUUUCUGUUUGGAUGAUCUGUUCUUUGAUAUAAGUGGGUUGUUAAAGUCCCAUACUAUUAUUAUAUUGUUAUCAAUUAGUUCUUUUAUGGUUGUUAAUGUUUUAUGUAUUUAAGUGCUCCUAUGUUGGGUACAUAGAUAUUUACAAUUGUUAUAUCUUCUUCUUGGAUAAUCUUCUUCAUUAUUAUAUGGUGUCCUUCUUGGUCUCUCAUUAUAGUCUUUGUUACAAAGCCUAUUUUGUCUGAAAAAAAGUAUUGCUACCUGGCUAAAAUUUUUAUUUUAAUAGGAUGAUUGGGAUGGUCUUACUGUUACUUAAACAAAAAUUUUAAAUACAUAAGGAAAUUUGUUAUGCUGAUAUCUAAGUAAUCUGCAUCUGAACAAAGGAAAUAGCUCUGCAAUGGCUUUAGGAUGGAUGGAAACCUGCAUACAGCAUAUGUAUUAGUUUCCUAGUGCUGCUACAACAAAUUACUACAAACUUCAACUAUUACAAUACAGAUUUAUUAUCUGUCAAUUUUGGAGGCUCAAAGUACAAAGUAAGUUUCACUGGGUUGAAAUGAUGGUUUCAACAGGAUUGUGUUCCCUCUGAUGGUUCUAGGGGAGAAUUUGUUUCUCUGCUUUUUCUAGCUUUUAGAGCUGCAUUGCAUAUUAUAUUCCUAGGCUUAUGAUUCUUCCAAGUUAAAAAGUAGUAUGUUGCUUCACUCUUCACAUCACCUUAUUCUCCUGUAAAAACUCUUUCUUUUAGGAACACUUGUGAUUAUAUUUAGGGCUCAUUCAAGUAAUUCAGGAUAACCUUUCAUCUCAAGACCCUUAACUUAAUUUCAUCUACAUAAUCCAUUUUGUCAUCUACAGUAACAUAGCUUCCAGAAAUAAGACCUGGAUGAGGGUCAUUAUUCAAUCUACCAAAGCAGUCAUGAGGAUCUGUAAUGCUAAUAACAAUGAUGAUUUAAAUCAACAAAAAUUGAGCCUGGAAAAGAUUUAUUCCAUAAUUCUAAGUAAUAGAUCUGACAUCAUUUUUAUACCAAAGUUCCUAGUCAAUAAAAAUCCAGAUCUACUUCUGAAAGUCUCUCUCUCUGUAUAUACACACACACAUACACAUAUAUAUGUAUAUAUGUAUUUAUAUGAAGUUAUAUAUAUCUACAUUACUAGAAUAAAUUUAAAUUGUAGGCAUAUGUUAGAAAAAAUAAUAAAGCUAAUAACGUGUUAAAAAUCCAUAACUAUGUAUAUAUACAUACCUAAACUUGAAUAUCUAUAAUGUGUUUCUGUAAACAUGUUCCUUAAGGGGAAACAAACAGGAAAGAAAAUAAAGGCCUAUUAAUAAAGGUUUUCUUGGCCUCCUCUUUUAUAUGAUCUAGUUAUGACUUCCCUACUUUGUAGUAAAUGAUGUAGGUACUAAUAAAAAUUUAACUUGUGUCAAGAACUGUUAGAAGCUAAAGGUAUAGCAUUUCAACAGGUCUUCACACAUUUUUACAUUCUAAAUAGAAAUAUUCCUAUCGAUUUAAUUUGCUAAAGUUCAACAAAAUAUUUAGAAUUGCAUGAUAUUGAUACUUUUGCUUUGACACAUAGAUAUCCAUGUCCACAUGCCCUAAGAUGAUAUAUUCAAAUACAGAUUUUUCCUAGUACUGUUAGGGAGCAAAUUUUUUACAUUGAAGUGAUCACAUUGAAUUGGGUCCUGGUAUGGUCUUUGAACCAUUCUCACACAUGAUUAUUGUCUAUUGCUGUUUUUGAGUGGCCCUUGCAUAAGAAUUUCUAUAUGGAGAGGCUAUCUUCCUUCCCAUUACAUAUUGCCUUAAGAUUGAGAGAAAAUUGAGAGAAAUAUUUGCUAAGCCAUGGCAUCUUGUUGCUUCUGAUUACAAAAAAAUCCUGAGGUCAGAAGGUUUAUAGCUCAUAUAAUAUGAUUAUGUUUUCAUUAUCUGUUGUAUGAUUUUUUACAACUUUAGGAAGCUGUACCUGACAUGUGAAAAUAGAACAAAUAGAUGAACAUAUAUAAUCUUAUAGAAAAGACAAUUUUAAUAUUUCUUUUUCUGGUAACAUUUAUGGAGGGAAUAAUAAAGAAGGAGAAAAAUCACAGUAAAUGAGGAAGUAUACAAGUUGAGCAGUAGAACAAAAUAUUAGGAUCCACUAUCAAUUUUUGCAUAAUGAAUUGAGAAACUGUAUAAUUGGUCAUGAUAAAAGAUUAAUAGAAAGAAGUACCACAGCCCAAUAUCAAUAUUAUUAGAGAGGUUAAAGUAUUGAAUUAACAGAGGUGAAACUUAUUAUUCUCAUCUUUAUGUUUCUAUGGAUGUUUUCCGCUAUAAAAGCAUUUAUGUGGAAAGAAUAGUGUUGUUAUAGAACUAUAAUUUCCAUUUGCUUCAAUAAUGUGAUGUAGCUUUCAAACUGAUAAAGUAUAGCUUCGUGCAGAUUCUUUUUUCUGUAAAUCCUUCAGUUCCUUCCUUCUUCAGGGGUUGGAUCUAUCUUUAUGCUGGCCUUCUUCAGCAUAGCGAGCCACUGCAGGGGUCUACAUGUUUUAUUAUCCAUGUCAAGUGAAGGCAAGAAUGUGUCUCUUUCUCCAACCAUAAAAAUAAGGCCAAGUAUUCACUUUGAUUAAAAAUCCCUGAAAAAAAAAUCACACAUUUGUUUAAACCACUGGUUUUAAAGUCUGCAGGAAAGAUUAUUGAUUCAGAUGGUAAACACACAUCAGUACAGAGAAGUGAGUAAGAACUCAGAUUUUAAAGUCAGACUGCUUCAGACCAAACUCUGAGUCUCUCUUUUAGUAGUUCUGCAAUCUCAUGCAAGUUACUGUACAUAUAUCUGUGUCCUCAUCUGUAAAAUGAGGAUAGUAGUAGUUACCCCAAAGAUUAUAUUAUGCAAACUUUAUGUCAUGAAGACAAAUAUAUUACAUAAAUUUUUUAAUAGCAUAUCUAGGCAUCAAAUCCUGAUUUAUUAUGUAUACUUAUGUUAAUCUGUAUACAUGAAUAAAUAGUAAUUAUGCUAAUACAUCUAUAUGUAUGUUAUAUAGUGUAUGUAAUAUAUGAUACAUUUAUAUGUAUAUGUAGUCAUGAUUUUCUAGACUGUAAAUGAUUUGACUUUUAUUGGUUAAAAAACGUUACUUUUAUAAAACAUAUUUUGUUUUAGUUUCUUCCAUUCAAAUAAAAAGGAAUCAAUUCUAAGAUAAUCAUAAUUAAAGGAUACAAGGGAUUUGAUACUCUUUAUGAAUAUCAGAGUUGUGAAUAAAUUUGAAAAAACCAUAUAUUUUUUAUUUCAAGUUCUCUGAUACAUAUUUUAAAAUCCCAAUUGUUUAUUUGAUUCUAAUGAUGUUAUUUCUAGCUACAGUGGCUGUAUUUUACCACAUGAUUCAUAAGAUAAUAUAACUUGCCUCACUCUCUAGAGUUACUUGAUUUUAGGGUAAGUUAUCAUAAUCUCCUAUAUUUUAAUGCCCCAUUUGUUUUUUCUUAAUUUUUGUUAAUCUGAUUUUGUUCCUGGUUAAUAUGGCAUAUGUCCAUAUGCCAUAUAGUCCAUUUUUAUUAUUUAAAAUAAGAGUAAGGGAUUAGUAAUGUGAAAAAAUCAAUACCUUUUUAGGAUUAUAAAAUUAGUAAGACAAUUUUCAAUAUGCAAUAGGUAAAGAAAAAACAAGCAUGUGAAACAAUGAUAAUAUAUAUAGUUAAAUAAACUCAUAAUAUUGUUCCUAUAGAUGUUAUGUUUCAAGUUAUUAGUCAAAAGAAUUUCGAAGUAAUGAAAAAAACUGAUAGUUUUUAAAAAAUGCAAUGAAAUUUAUAAUAUAUCCUUUUUCUAUAUGUACUUAGUAAAAUUAUUUAAAAAUAAACUUUUAGCUCCAUGCUUUACUUUUUCUGACAGAAAUGUGUCCUAUUAAAAUGGUUAAUACUUUCCACAAUCCCUUUCAUACUAAUAGGAUAUUUGAAAUCAAAGUCUAUUGGGAGCCUGGGUGGCUCAGUCAGUUAAGUAUCUGCCUUUGGCUCAGGUCAUGAUAACAGAGUCCUGGGAUGGAGUCCCACAUGGUACUCU